UGCCCCAUGGCUGAGUUGGUUACAGCGUCCGACUGUUAAUCUCCGUUAGUGAUCGGAAGGUCGUGAGUUCGAGCCUCACUGGGGCAG